UUUUUUUAAAAAAACCUAAGUCAACUGACACAUUAUUUAAGCAGUAUCCAUGUGGUUUGAUCGAAGAUUAUAUGGUUAACUACAGCUUCACCACCACUUUGGGACUGAAUACCUCUCAACGGCAGACCGAUAGAUCUGAGUCCCAUUUGUCCAAUCCCUGGAAUAGACACAUGGAGCUUAUGCAUCUGAGAUCAAUAUGCUAGAGAAGCUACCAUUCCUGGAUGUACUCACAAACAAGGCUAGUGCUGGAAGAUGCCUUGAAGGUCAUGUGGUCUGCUCAGUGCAAGACAGUCACAGAUUUCAGAUUGGUGGUCUUUAUUGCUGCACAUCGCAAUGAACACACUGUGCUGGUUCAGCAUUUUCAUGUGCUGCAUCGCAAGGAACUUCUGUUUGGAAUGAAUUGUAGACGCAUCAGAACACGAAAUACACUCAAGUGGGCUCCAACGACAUUUUCCAGUACUUAUGAAUGGUUAGUGGGUAGUAAUUUGCCUGUUGAAUUUCUUUUCGUGUGAGUAUUCUCAGUGGAUGCAUAUUUAUUUUCAAGGCUUUCGAUAUUUGCAGAAAAAGAAACAUUGACUUGAUUCUACAGGAAUAAAAAAGUUUGGCUUCAAGACCUGAGUCUUUGG
rnacentral:lncRNA from 1 species